UACGUAGGGUGCGAGCGUUAAUCGGAAUUACUGGGCGUAAAGCGUGCGCAGGCGGUUUUAUAAGCCAGAUGUGAAAUCCCCGGGCUUAACCUGGGAACUGCAUUUGUGACUGUAAGACUAGAGUGCGGCAGAGGGGGGUAGAAUUCCACGUGUAGCAGUGAAAUGCGUAGAUAUGCGGAGGAACACCGAUGGCGAAGGCAGCCCCCUGGGUCGACACUGACGCUCAGGCACGAAAGCGUGGGGAGCAAACAGG
rnacentral:rRNA from 1 species